rnacentral:tRNA from 1 species
GGGUUUAUAGCUCAGUUGGUUAGAGCGCUACCCUGAUAAGGUAGAGGUCGAUGGUUCAAGUCUAUCUAAACCCACCA